GUUAAAGGACGGGACCGGACGACCGGAACCAUGGGAGGAAGAGCAGGCAGGCUGCAGGAGAGGAAGGAGGAAGGAACCACAGGAGAGGGUGUGGCGUGAGGCCGAUGGAAACCACAGCUAUCUGUUGGGCAGGAAAGAGAAACCAGAUACAGCUUCCUGGGCAAUGGAACUUCAGAGACAAGCACAGAGUUUGCUGUCAACUCCAGGAGGCUGAAGCCACCAUUCCCGCAGCCUUUGGGGGUGAGUUUAUCUCAGAGGACUGGCUGUUUGUCAGGGCUUGGGUCUCUUCCUUCUCUUGGCUGUUUACCUUCUUGCUACUUUCCUAUUAACAGUACAGCCUGGAAAAUGAAGGGAGCAGGAAGGGAGGCUCAUUUCAGUCCAUUUGGCUUCUUGUUUGAUUAUCUAAAGGACCGGAUGGCUGCUGCAGAAAGUGACUUCAUCGAGGAUGGGGUCGCAGGGCUCCAAGCCCUCAUGCGGAGCCAGGCACAGGGCGGGUCAUGGGCUUACACCACCCCUGUCGGUAAUGGCAGGGCCAGUCUCCUGCUGUCCUGCUACAGCCCCCAGCCUGCUUCCAUUCCUGACCUACUGCUCCCAGGAUAAUUGAGAAAUGAGUGAUGGGAGCUGCAGGCUUCUGCUGGUUGUCGAGAGCUGUGAUAGCUGCUCAUAAACUUCUACAGUGUCUGCACUUUCCUCUAAAACAACAGCACGGUCAGCCUUGUGCAUGUUUGUGUUGUAUAAAAAUGACCUCACUCUUUUUUUUUUUUGGCCAUACUGCAUGGCUUGUGGGAUCUUAGUUCCCUGACCUGGGAUUGAACCCAGGCCCUCAGCAGUGAAAGCGUGGAGUUCUAACCACUGGACCACCAGGGAUGUCCCAAAGACCAGUUUUCUUAUUUGCGAUGAGAUUUGAUUGCAAAUAAGAUAAAAAGCGAGAUGCUUUUAUAACACACAAGCCUGUUUCUUUUUUAUGAUAGGGCUCCAUGGACCUAGCACUGCUGGUGAAUUGGCGUGGAUGCCGCUAAGUGCUGCGCUCAUUCUUGCGAUCUGUCUCUAUCCCAUUCUGGAGCAGUGACCAAGCCCUCAGGGGCCUCCUGCUGCAGACAACCCUUUCAGGGAGGCUGUUUAGAGCCCCACAGAAACCGUGCCACCAGCCACGGAGCAGUGCUGCCUGAAGCAGAGAGCAGAGAGCCUGAGUCAGAGAGCAGAAGGCAAAGUUGCCCGCUUCCCCAACUUGUGAGCUGUGUGAAUUUGGGUCGAGCACUUAACCGGUCUGUGCCUCAGUUACUGCAUCUAGCAAAUGCAGGCGAUGGUAGCUGCCCCUCCUCAGGGAGACUGUGAAGACUAAGUGAGAUGGUGCCUGGCAAGCACUUCACAUGGUGCCUUGUUAGUCUGUCCUCUUCCUUCUUUAGAAAAAGGGCCCCAGUGGAGAGGCAGGACCCUGCCCCAUGAAAGAGGGACGCAUGCCUAAAAAGAGCAAAGGGGCCUCUUUCACAAAAUCAUAGGAUGUCUGAACAGAAGGUCUGGGUGGAUGCAACUUCUGGGAACCCAGCCAGGAGUGAAGUCUUCCCUGGAGAAAAUUUCCCCAGCAAGAAGCCCUGGAGCAGGAAAGCUAGGAUGACCAGACUAGUUGACCAAAUUCAAAUUUCAAAUCCUGCGUUCAGACUUGCCGAGGGAUGACAUCCUGACCAAAGAGAAGACUGAUCUCCGUGGAAUCUAAGAUAAGAAUCUAAGAUAAAACAUGACACACGUGAGCACCAAACAGUUGGUGUAUCUGUGGUUUCUGGGUUUUGCUCAGUAAACCUCAAAGGCACCAUCCUCAGGCAUUGAGAUGAAUGUCAGGAGACCAGGGGCCUCUGACACUGGGCCAUCAGCACCAAAGUGGUAGCAGAGGCACCUGUGUCCAUUUGCUCAGACUGCUAUAAUAAAGUCCCAUGGACCGGGAUGCUUAAACAACAGAAAUUUCUUGUCUCAUGUUCUGGUGGCUGGAAAUGUGAAAUUGAGGUGUGGACAGGGUUUGUUACUUCUAAGGGAGAUAAGGGAAUGGUCUGUUCCAGGUCUCUCUCUUUGUCUUGUGGGUGGCCAUCUUCCCCCGUGUUUUUUUUUUUUUAAUUUUUCAUUUAUUUAUUUUUGACUGCUCUGGGUCUUUGUUAUUGCGCACAGGCUUUCUCUUGUGGUGUGUGGGCUUCUCACUGCAGUGACUUUCUUAUUGUGGCUCACCAGCUCUCGAGCUCGGGCUCAAUAGUUGUGGCCCACGGGCUUUAGUUGCUUAGUGGUAUGUGGGAUCUUCCUAGACCAGGGAUUGAACCCGGGUCACCUGCAUAGCAGUUAACCACUGGACCACCAGGGACGUCUUCCCAUCCCCUCCCCAUGUCUGCAUCGUCUUCCUUUUGUGCAUGUCUGUGUCCAGAUUUCCCCUUCUUACAAGAACACCAGUCAUAUUGAAUUAGGGCCCACCCUAAUCAUGUCACUUUAAAUUAAUUACCUCUUUAAUGGCCCUCUCUCCAAAUGCAGCCACAUUCUGAGGUACUUGGGAUGUAGGGAUCCAGCAUAUGAAUUCUGGGGCCAGUUCAACCCAUUGCAGUCUUUUACCAACUGGUCUGAACUUCAUCAGCAGAGAAAUAAUGGGUGAGCCUGUGUUUUCCCAGAUUUCUCCCACUUUUAAGCAGAUUAAGGUUCAGCCUAGAAUCGUGCAUUGACCUGCCAAAUGCAACUGAAUGUGUAACUUAGACCAUGUCAUCUUUCCAGGUUAACAUUUAUUUAUAAACCGCAGGUAAUAAAAAUAACAUCUAUUUGUCUCCCUCAGAACACUUAAGGUGUUCUGAGCCUUAAAUUAUGGAUGCAGCAAUUAUGCUUUUCAGAACCAAGCAUUAUCAGUCCUUAGGACAGACGACUCAGGCAAACCAGCCAGCAGCACCAGCAGCAGCACAAAACAACCUUUCAGACCCACACGAGAGGACAAGAUUGUAAUGCCUCCGUGACAGCAUUGCUUUAUUGAUGCAAGGGCUGUCUCAGGAGCUGAAAUGGGCCAGUUACAAACAGAAUUGGUUCUGCUGUCAUAGAAAACCACAAAAGCAUAUGUGUUUUCAGACACAAAAGCUACCACACUUUCUUUGGAAAACAAGGCACAGGUGAAAAAAAAAAAAAUCUCACUUCUAAACAGAAUGGAAAGCAUGGCUAACUUGAGAUUUAUUUAAUUACAGUGUCUUUCUCCGGGCUAAUCAGUUUUAAAACCCAUUCAUAUUGGUGCCGAUGAGCCAAUAAAAGAUCCAGAAGAAAAGAAGUAUUAUAUCAAUGCAGAGAAACAAGGUUGUUUUUUUUAAAGCAUUGAAUUAAUGUUUACACCACUGAGUCAGAUUAUUUAUACAUAGGCUACAGGUUUUGCAUCUCCAGAAUUUGUUGGCACUUAGAAUAUGAUAAAUUGUACCUGACUGACUUGUGAAAAAUCAUCUCGAGAAAGAUUUUUCCCCCUGGGAAAAUAUGGAAAUGACACAUGGUGUGUACAGCCAGAAACAGCGAAAGGAAAGGAGGGUUUUGAGCUGUCACAGUGGAUGGUUAAGAAUUUCAGCUUUGGGGCAGAAGUUUUGCUCAAGUCACAUUACCUCAAAACCUGAUCGUCUUCAUCUCUAGAUUAGGUUCCAAGUUCAGGUAUUUCUGUAUAUAUUCAAUGGGAUAGGGACUUUCCUGGUGGUCUAGUCAUUAAGAAUCCACCUGCCAAUCAGGGGCAUGGGUUCGGUCCCCGGUCAGGGAACUAAAUCCCACAUGCCACGGGGCAGCAUGCCGCAACUAAAGAAGCCUGAACAUUGGAUAGAAGACCCAGCACAGCCAAAAAAAUUCAGUGGGGUAAUGCAUGCACAAAGUUCAACAUUAACCUCCCAGAGGCCAAAUAAGAAUCCAGUAAAUGCUAAUGUCUCUAUCAUUAUCAAAGGGAAUCUUUGCAUGCUUUAUCUCUCAUCUGGAAAAAAUUCACAAAAAAGGAUUAAAUUUGUUGGGGGAAAAAAGGUGAAUCUUGGGUCCCCCUUAGCACAUGUGCACUCCAUCCUUUCUAAAAAGUGAAGUUUGUAAGUUUACAGGUUUUAGGGAGAAAGGGAAGCAACCAGAAUGCUCCUACAUUACUGGUGGGGAUGUCAAAGGUCACAGACCUUUUGGAAACUCUUUUGUGGCUCCUCAACAGUUAAACAUAGAUACAGCCCAGAAGUCCCACUCCUAGGUGUAUACUCAGAAGUGAAAACAUGCGUUCAUAUAAAAACUUGUUCAUAAAUGUUCAUUUCAGGAUUGCUGAAGUGAAAUGUUAGUUGCUCAGUCACAUCUGACUCUUUGCGACCCCGUGGACUGUGGCCUCUGGGCUCCUCUAUCCAUGGGAUUCUCCAGGCAAGAAUACUGGAGUGGGUAGCCAUGCCCUUUUCCCGGGGUUUCUCCCAAUCCAGGGAUCGAACCCGAGUCUCCUUCACUGCAGGUGAAUUCUUUAUAGCUGAGCCAUCUGGGAGGCCCUAGAAAGACACAGCUCAAUUGUCUAUUGACAUGAUAGACAGAUAAAAUAGAUUUAAUAAAAAUGUUGAACAGCCAUACCAUGGAAUUUUAUUUGGCAACAAUAAGGUGUGGACAUAAGCUACAAGUGGAUCAAACUUGAAAACAUGAUUCUAGUUGUGAAGAAACCAGUCACAAAAGGCUACGUACUGCAUGACUUCAUUCAUAUGAAACAUCCAGAAUAAACAACUCCAUAGAGACAGAAAGGAAUUAGUGAUUGCCUGGGGCUGGGAGGGAAGGCAGGUAUGGGGAGUGAUUGCUAAUGGAUAUAAGGUAUUUUUGUUUGGUUUCGUUUAUCUUCAUAUUUACUAAUAUUUGUUUGGCUGUGCCAGGUCUUAGUUGUGGCAUCCCGGAACUUCAGUCUUCAUUUGUGGCAUGUGGGAUCUAGUUCCCUGGUUCUUCAGGGAUCAAACCCAGGUCCCUUGCAUUGGGAGCACAGUCUCAGCCACUGGACCGCCAGGAAAGUCCCCAGGGUUCCUUUUUGCAAUGAUAAAAAUUUUCUGGAAUUAGAUAGUUAUGAUGGUUGUACAGCUUUGUGAAUAGUCUCUAAAACACUGAACUGUACCUUCUAAAAUGGUGAAUUUUGUGGUUUACCAAUUGUAUCUGGAAAAAAAUCAGUGAAUGGUUAAUGUGGAAAAAAAGAAGAUAGAGAAGCCAAUAUUGUCAUUGUAGCAUCCAGAGAUAAUCACUGCAAAUGCUUUGAUGUAGAUCCUUCCAGACUGAUGUAAAUAUAUAUAUAUCAAAAAAUAAUAAUAAAAUGGUGUCAUACUGUA
ensembl:lncRNA